GAAACGGAGGUGAGGGCAGAGUUCGAAGAAAUUGAGACAUUUAAAAAUUCGACAACAUGCGUGUCUAAUAGCUCCGUCCGACUAUACCGCUAGCGAGGUCCUAAUCAAUGCGGCAACAGGAUUGAUAUAUGUCAACUUACAGAAUCUGGUCAUGCAAGUAAUGGGCAACUUGUGGAGACAGAGGAGAUUGAAAACCUGGGGGAAAAUAUUUGGUUCGUGCUGAUUUAUAAUGCUCCAAUUUUCGAGCACUAUUUCACGCUAAUAGACAGGCCACGACACUGCACAGUCCCACAUUUCUGGCACGUGUGGUUGUGUGUGAUGGAAUGAGAAAAUUAAUAGCUUCCUCACGCCCUGGCACAAGGCAAGCCGGCAGUAUGAGCUAGAACAGCACAUGGCAGUAGUGUCUGUGUUUGUGUGCAGCGGACGGCUUACAAAGCCUGGUGGCUCUGGACACGGAUUGAGGGGAAUAUCUUCACGAACUCGCGAUCAUGCACAACCUCCGCGUACGGUAGCUGACUUUUGGUAGUCGCGAAGCGUUACACCUCUCCUCUGGAAAGGUUGUGUGACAAACCGUUCUCGAUCAUUCGCAGUGUUCAGUGAGCUCUGGUUGUGUCGCACUCAUCAUGAAUCCAUCAAGCUCAAGCGGCACAAAAAGGGAAUUCGUUGUCGUCUUCGUCGUCGUCACGACACAGAGUGAGAAAGGCCGCGCGACGAAGAAGCGAAGGAAAUUGGUCCGAAAAAACCAUGACCUAUGCAGAUGCGUGACCUGGAGAGAGCAUUGCGACGAAACCUCCGAUAUCCCCAUACCCUGGUGAAAAGUGCUUGGUUUCUUUUUCUGGCCUGCACACCGUCGCUCAUCUGUCAGCAGCUUCCCUGUUACAUCGCCUGCCUGACCCUUGGAGUAUUGCCAACACAUCUGGUGCAACGAUCGCAGUUGUAUUGGAAGAGAGGACCCAGGGUCGUCGACGUGUUCUGUUAGGGAUUGGAAGAAGCAAAAAAAAAAAACGCAACAGAAUUGCCAUCCGCCCGUAAAAAGAGUUGCACAGACAAACGAAAGGGAUGGCCAAUAACACACAGAGCACGAUCGCGAAGGUGUUGUACAGGCCCCGGCUUGUUUUUCGCUCGGCUUCGAAAAACCUUCGACUAGAACGUCUUGCCGAAGAACACACGCAAAAGAACCAGAACCAGGCGUGAGCGCGUUCAGUGGAAGGAAGGAAGGGCAGGCGAGCUCACGCGUCGUUUGGUCGAUUCUAUUCGUGGGGUUCUAUACGCGUUUGUGCGCGCGUGCGUGUCUGUGUGUACGUGUCAAUGUUUAUUUUUAGGUUCCUUCGGCUCAGAAGUAGUGCCGAAGUGCGCGGAUCCCCAACGAAGCGUUAGCUGUUGUUGUAUGUUUUUUUGCUGGUGUUUCGCUCAACAACCCGUUUGCCACGGAAGAAACAUGGGACAAUCUCACUCCACCGCCGUGAGGAAGUUAUCGUAGGGUGAGUAGUAGAGCAGGGUGGUUUGUGUGGCAGCAAUCCCACAUCCCACACGGAAGGCGUACGAUCGCUACGAGAUGCAAACCAUAGGACGGCACGCGUGUCCCAGUGUAUGUCGGAGGUGCAAGCCGCGAAGAACCUGAAUCUGCUCAAAAAAGGGACAAUAAAAAAGAGGAAAUAAAACAAAAGCGCACACCCCACGGUACGCGGCUACCGUCAACCGCCAUUCUGCAUCGCAUGAAUGAAGCCGUCGUGUCGAACGGAACGGUGCGACGCCCAAACGUGCAGACUGUUUACGCACAUGUUUCCAUUCCGCUUCUAUUUGCGUGUAAUACGAGUAUUGUUUACACUCAAUUCCGCUCGAUACACACACCACUCGGCCAAUUCGAAACCGGGAAGGAAGUAUGCACAUCAGAACCUCACCAACCGACCGACCGACAUCAGACAUCAAACGGGGUGAAGGAACUGACUCCCAGAGCGCACUGAAGGUUACGUAGGCUGGUUGGUUUUGCACUUGUAUGUUCCUGUGUGUUCCCGUGCGGUUACAAACACAGAAGCCUCGCGUUUUUAGUCACAUCUGUAACGCAUAAGUUAAACGUUUGAGGAAAAAAAAGAGACAGGAGUUAAAUUUCAUCCUUUUGUAAGCGCUCAGCUGCAAAAAUCUAAACGAUACCUCAGAAAGAAGCUAGCAAAAGCAUUUAACGUAUGAUUUAUGAGUCACCAUAAAUAUUGAAGUUAACUGGGCGGAGUUCUUUCCUCGUCUUGGUUGCUUUUUUCUACUCUCUACGUCGUGUCGUGCCGAAUAAAUUGAUUCCGCUUUCCCACACAUUUCUUUUUGAUCAGAAAUUUGAAUAUAAAAGCAGGCGGAACCUCCAGUCCAACAAACACCCCAUCCCCUUCAUGCUAAAAGUAAUGAGAUUUCAACGAUCUAAUCGAACGAAGCUCCCGUGACCCUGUGCCAAACGCUUAGCCUUGCGCACGACAAAUCGUAAGUUCGAUUCUCAACCGAUCUUAACGUAGAAAAGAGUGGCCUUUAUUACGCUAAAUGAAAGUAAAUAAAACUGGAAAUAUUGUUACU